AGCGGGAAUAGCUCAGUGGUAGAGCGCAACCUUGCCAAGGUUGGGGUCGCGAGUUCGAGCCUCGUUUCCCGCUCCAC
rnacentral:tRNA from 1 species